rnacentral:rRNA from 1 species
GACGUAGGGCGCGAGCGUUGUCCGGAUUUAUUGGGCGUAAAGAGCUCGUAGGCGGCUCGUUGCGUCGGCUGUGAAAACCUGCAGCUUAACUGUGGGCGUGCGGUCGAUACGGGCAUCACUGGAGUUCGGCAGGGGAGACUGGAAUUCCUGGUGUAGCGGUGGAAUGCGCAGAUAUCAGGAGGAACACCGGUGGCGAAGGCGGGUCUCUGGGCAGUAACUGACGCUGAGGAGCGAAAGCGUGGGGAGCGAACAGG